rnacentral:rRNA from 1 species
ACGUAGGUGGCAAGCGUUGUCCGGAAUUACUGGGUGUAAAGGGAGCGCAGGCGGGAAGCCAAGUCAGCUGUGAAAACUACAGGCUUAACUUGUAGACUGCAGUUGAAACUGGUUUUCUUGAGUGAAGUAGAGGUUGGCGGAAUUCCGAGUGUAGCGGUGAAAUGCGUAGAUAUUCGGAGGAACACCGGUGGCGAAGGCGGCCAACUGGGCUUUAACUGACGCUGAGGCUCGAAAGUGUGGGGAGCAAACAG